rnacentral:rRNA from 1 species
GGACUACCAGGGUAUCUAAUCCCGUUCGCUCCCCUGGCUUUCGCGCCUCAGCGUCAGAUGGGGUCCAGCGUGCCGCCUUCGCCACCGGAGUUCCUGUGGAUAUCAACGCAUUUCACCGCUCCACCCACAGUUCCGCACGCCCCUACCCCCCUCGAGGCCGCCCGUACCCGGGGCCGUUCUCCGGUUGAGCCGGAGGAUUUCACCCCGGACGCGGCAGCCCGCCUACGCGCCCUUUAAGCCCAGUGAUUCCGAACAACGUUCGCUCGGUUCGUCUUACCGCGGCUGCUGGCAC